rnacentral:rRNA from 1 species
UACAGAGGUCUCAAGCGUUGUUCGGAUUCAUUGGGCGUAAAGGGUGCGUAGGCGGCGCGGUAAGUCGGGUGUGAAAUCUCGGGGCUUAACUCCGAAACUGCAUUCGAUACUGCCGUGCUUGAGGACUGGAGAGGAGACUGGAAUUUACGGUGUAGCGGUGAAACGCGUAGAUAUCGUAAGGAAGACCAGUGGCGAAGGCGGGUCUCUGGACAGUUCCUGACGCUGAGGCACGAAAGCGUGGGGAGCGAACAGG